rnacentral:misc_RNA from 1 species
GAUGAAGAACGUAGCGAAAUGCGAUAAGUAAUGUGAAUUGCAGAAUUCAGUGAAUCAUCGAAUCUUUGAACGCACAUUGCGCCCGCGAGUAUUCUCGCGGGCAUGCCUGUCCGAGCGUCAUUUCAACCCUCAGGGCCCGCCUGCUUGCAGGCGCGGCGCUGGUGUUGGGGAUCGGCUACCCUGCCGUCCCCCAAAUACAGUGGCGGUCUCGCUGCAGCCUCCCCUGCGUAGUAGCAACACUCGCAUGCGGAGCGCGGCGCGGCCACGCCGUAAAACCCCCGACUUUCUGAACGUUGACCUCGGAUCAGGUAGGAAUACCCGCUGAACUUAAGCAUAUAAUAAGCGGAGGA